GAUCCUGGCUCAGGAUGAACGCUGGCGGCGUGCCUAACACAUGCAAGUCGAACGAAGCACCUUUUGAGAUUCUUCGGAUGAUUGAUCGGUGACUGAGUGGCGGACGGGUGAGUAACGCGUGGGUAACCUGCCCUGUACAGGGGGAUAACAGCUGGAAACGGCUGCUAAUACCGCAUAAGCGCACGAGGAGACAUCUCCUAGUGUGAAAAACUCAGGUGGUACAGGAUGGGCCCGCGU
rnacentral:rRNA from 1 species